UAUAUAUAUGUGUAUGAUACCUGUUGAACCAUACCUGAGUUCCAACCAUUUAUUCAAUAAAAAAAAUUGCCAUAAUUGCACGUAUGCAAUUCAUACUGUACUCGGAUAUAAAAUAUUAUAGUGCCAUAUUGUAACUUAAUCACUAGUAUAUUCAUAGCGCUCUAUUAACCUUCAGUGACUAUUGUUUUUUUUUUAAAAUUAUUUCCAUAUCCGUAUACUUAUACGUACUAUAGAAUAUUCUGGAUUACCAACAACGUUCAAUAUCCUUGGAUUUAUUCUACAUUUAUACUCUGGAUUUACAAAGACCAACCUAGUAGUCUACAACAAAUUAGUGACUAAACCUGUGGCUGAUCACCUUUACAAUCCCGGAAUUCUGUGAUUUGACUAACCCUGUGACUGAUCACCUUUAUAAUCCCGGAAUUUCUGUGAGUUUCUAACCCUGUGACUGAUCACCUUUACAAUCCCGGAAACCUUCAAUACACAGUAUGAGCCAUUUCCUGUCCAUGGUGUUUCAAGAAUUUACUAACUUUGACGAUGUUGACACCAUAUAUUUUGAUGUUAAUAAUAUUCCUUUCAACUUUAACAAAAAUAACAUUUCACUACAAAUUCCAUGUAUGGAUUUCUGUGAUUCUCAAGUUGUUAUAUCCUUUAAGUACCUAGGUACACAUAAAAACACUAUUUACUACAUAGGCAAACAAAGCAAAAAAGUUAGAGAAUGCAAAUACUUCCAUACAUUUUUAUUACUAAUAUAUGACACUGUCAAUGAGCAAGGCAUUAUUAUAAAUACACCAUUCACUAAAUCUAUCUCUUGGUUUGCACACAAAAUGUACCACAAUCUUAAACUUUCAGUGUGUUACGAUAUUUUCAGAUUUUAUUUCAUGCACGAUAUAAAUUUUUCUCAUUGGUAAAUAUGUGUCUGUCUGAGGUUUAUUGUGUUAUACAUGGUAUUGGUUUUUUCAACUAAACAUAUUCAUAGACUACAGUAUUUCAUAAACUAUAGCUGCAGAUGUAAAUAUAUACAUAUACGGACUUUGUCAAUGGAUACGAAAUAUUAACACUAUAUGUAUGUUAUUAAAAAUAAUAUAUAUACUGUAAUUGUAUACAGAAUAUAAGCACGCUACAUAUGUUAGUACAAUUUGUAUAUAUAUAGACUUUAUUAGUGUGUAUGGACUAUAAACACACUACUUGUGUUAUAACACAUUUAUAUAGACUUUGUUAGUGUGGAUGGACUAUAAACACACUACUUGUGUUAUAACAAUUCAUAUAAUACAUAUAAUUACACAAAUGUACUAAUUAUUGUUAUAGCAAUAUUUAUACAUCGCAUUGUAAUUAUUUUUUUAAGUUAUGACAAUAUAGUAUAACUUUUAGUCAUAAUAAUAUGUAUUGAAUUUUAUGUGUACACAUUAUAUAUAGUAUGAUAAAGAUAUUACAAUUUCCUCAAUCUCCAUUAAAUCACUAAAAUUAUUCAAAUUAAUCAUAUAUAUAAUCAUAUAUAUAAUCACAAUUUCUUAUUUUCAUCUCAAAUCAACAUAUUCAUAUUCAUGUCAAUAUAAAAACCCAUGGUUUUUCUUUUAAUUCCAUUAUCAAUUAUUAUUCCUCACUCCAUUAUCUAUUAUCAAUUAUUAUUCCCCAUACUAAUUUUAAAAUAAUUUUUUUUUUUAUAUUGAUUUUACAUAUAUUAAUUCAUUAUUUAUACUGAUUGAUAUUAUUAUUAUAUUAUUUGUACUGAUUCAAUAAAUUCAUAAACUUCAAAUGCUUCUACAUUGUUAUUUAUAUAACGGUAUACCAUAUCACAGUUUUCGCGGAAAAAUCACUAACUCAAAUGCACGUCAUAAUAGUAACAUACGCAAUCAAUCACGUCAUAACAUUAACAUACGUAAUUAAUCUCGUCAUUUCCAUUUCGAAUCCUUUAGUUCAGUUGGGUUUUCACUAAGUUCCUUCCGUUUGGUAAGUAAAACCCAUUUAAAUAUGUUAUAAUUACGUUAUUAUUGUCUACAACAUUAAUUAAUUUAAGCACUUUUAGCGAUCUUUACAGUCAAUUCAUUACCUAUGCAUCUUUGUCGGCAAUAACUUAAUUGUUUAAAAAAUUCUUUUAUUAGUUAUAGCAUAAAUUCUAUUAGUUAUAACUAAAAUAUACGUUCACCAAAUAUUAUUUUAGCACUAUUAAUUCAGCUAAUGUUUACCACCAUAACUAAAGGGUCCUUUCAUCGUUGAAAUGUUUAUAUAUCCGUCAAUUACAGUUUAACAUUAUAAAUUUAUACACUAUCUUUUUAGCACUGUAACAUUAACAAAUAUUUACUACCAUAAACAAAAAGGUUCUUAUCGUACAGUGUAUAUGCUUUCAUCGUUCAAACGUUUAUACUAAAUCCGUCAAUUACAGUUUAACAUUAUAUUUUAUACGCAAUCUUUAGCACUGUAACGUUAACAAAUAUUUACUACCAUAACUAAAAGUUUCUUAACGUAUAUACUUACAAAACCGUACAACAUCUAAUUUUACAAACAUCAAUAAUUAUUACAUUAAACUUAAUCUUACAGCAUUAUAAUAAAUUUUUGGCCUUCGGUAACGUAUGGUCUCCGUGGCCGAGUGGUUAGAGCGUCGGGCUCAUAAUCACAAGGUAUACCGGCGUGAGUUCGAGUCCUGCUUAUGCAUAUAAUUAAAU